GAAAUCCUUACCUGAAUUAUACCUGGAAAGACCUUACUCCCACAUCCACAGGCACAGAAGUCACAGUGCAGCCAUCCCGAGCCCCGUGGGUGAGGUGUGAGUGUGGCCAUCCCGAGCCCCGUGGGUGAGGUGUGAGUGCGGCCGGUGCACAUGCAGCUUGGAAGGGCGCAGGAGCCGCAGCCUGGCGGUUCUGCGUGGCCGCGGUGAGCCUCACUGUCUAUGCAAUGGGGACAGCAUGGUGCUGACAUCGUGGGCGGUGUGAGGAUUACAGGAUGGGCACCCCGAGGUGCCAGCUCUGGCAUCCAGAUGCCCAAAGUGGAUUCCACUGAGCUGCAGCUGAGCUAUGGGCAGGGCUAUGCAGCCUCCAGAGGGUCUGUCCUUCCCUCCCAGCUCCUGGGGCUCCAGGCGUCCUUGGCCACAUUGCUGCACCCUCUGCCUCCAUCACACGCAGCUGUUUCCUCUUCUGUCUGGGUCGAAUCUCCCUCCAUGUGUCUUUUUCUUUUUUUUUCCUUUUUGAGACAGGGUCUCACUCUGUUGCCCAGGCUGGAGUGCAGUGGCAUGAUCAUAGCUCACUGCAGCCUCAGCCUCCUAAGGUCAAGUGAUUCUCCUGGCUCAGCCUCCCAAUGUGCGGGGAUUACAGGUGUGAGCCACUGCACCCGGCCCACUUCUCUCUCAUAAGACACUUGUUUUUUGUGGUUGUUGUUGUUUGUUGGUUUUGAGACAGAGUCUCACUCUGUCGCCCAGGCUGGAGUGCAGUGGUGUGAUCUCAGCUCACGGCAACCUCUGCCUCCUGGGUGCAAGUGAUUCUCCUGCCUCAGCCUCCUGAGCAGCUGAGACUACAGGCGCCCGCCACCACACCCAACUUUUUUUUUUUUUUUUUUUUUUUUAAGUAGAGAUGAGGUUUCAUCAUGUUGGUCAGGCUGGUCUCGAACUCCUGACCUGGUGAUCCACCCACCUCGGCCUCCCACAGUGCUGGGAUACAGGUGUGAGCCACUGCGCCUGGCCUGCUUCUCUCUUAUAAGACACUGGUGAUUGUAUUCAGGGUGCACCUGGGUGAUCAGGGGCACCCUCCGUCUCAGGCUCUCUAACUUAAUCACGUCUGUAAAGUCCUUUUGACCAUGGAAAGUGACAGACUCAUGGGUUCCAGACAUCAGAACCUGAUGCCUUUGGGAUCUGUUAUUUAUCCCACCACACCUGUCCUGCCUGAUGAACAGAUCUAGAUAGACCCAGUGCGUAUUUGUUAAUGCCAUUUCUUCCAAAAUGUGAAUCCACUGCUGACAUGUAGAGGUAUAAAUCUGUACACUGGCACUUCCUGUUGGAAUUUUAGAAGAUCUGGCAUCUCUGGACCCGAGUCCCUGGUUGGCAGUAAUCUGUGGGUCUGAGCCGAAGUCCCCAACACUCCCUGUUUCCCCAGACACACACGCCAAGUGACAAUCUGUUCAUCCUUCAACUUCCCUGUUUUCCUCAGGGUCCUCAGGAUCGAGAGGAGGUGGCUGAGACGCGGGCACAGGUCCCCUCAUAGCCCAGAUCACCCCCACCUGCCCACUGCUCACAAACGGAGUCAGCCCCCGUGGAAAUCGCAUUCCCCGUCACGCUCCCAGACGGCCGUCUCCUCCCCGGUGAUUGUCUUCCAAACUACCUCCUGUAAUUAGAACAGUGCGCUCCCUCGGGUCAUGGGAAAGGAACUUCAAAUGAUGAUUCCAUAAAAGCAGAAUGACCACGGGCGCGCGGCGGCCGUGCGCGGA